AUUGAACGCUGGCGGCAGGCCUAACACAUGCAAGUCGAGCGCGCGGCGGACGGGUGUGUAUUGUCUGGGAAACUGCCCGUUGUAGGGGGAUAACUACUGGAAACGGUAGCUCAUACCGCAUACCAUCAGAUGUGCCCCGGUGGGAUUAGCUCGUAGGUGGGGUAACGGCUCACCUAGGCGACGAUCCCUAGCUGGUCUGAGAGGAUGACCAGCCACACUGGAACUGAGACACGGUCCAGACUCCUACGGGAGGCAGCAGUGGGGAAUAUUGCACAAUGGGCGCAAGCCUGAUGCAGCCAUGCCGCGUGUGUGAAGGAGGCCUUCGGGUUGUAAAGCACUUUAAGCGGGGAGGCGUUACCCGCAGAAGAAGCACCGGCUAACUCCGUGCCAGCAGCCGCGGUAAUUC
rnacentral:rRNA from 1 species